rnacentral:rRNA from 1 species
CAGCAGCCGCGGUAAUACCGGCGGCCCGAGUGGUGGCCGCUAUUAUUGGGCCUAAAGCGUCCGUAGCCGGGUUGGUUAGUCUCCCGGGAAAUCUGGCCGCUUAACGGUCAGAAUUCCGGGAGAUACUGCCAGCCUAGGGACCGGGAGAGGCCGAGGGUAUUCCCGGAGUAGGGGUGAAAUCCUAUAAUCCCGGGAGGACCACCUGUGGCGAAGGCGCUCGGCUGGAACGGGUCCGACGGUGAGGGACGAAGGCCAGGGGAGCAAACCGGAUUAGAUACCCGGGUAGUCCUGGCUGUAAACGAUGCGGACUUUGUGUCGGACAAGCUAUGAGCUUGUCCGGUGCCGGAGGGAAACCGUUAAGUCCGCCGCCUGGGGAGUACGGCCGCAAGGCUGAAACUUAAAGGAAUUGGCGGG